GGCCAGCUAGCUCAGUCGGUAGAGCACAAGGCUCUUAAUCUCAAAGGUCAUGAUUUCGAGCUCCAUGUUGGAUUCGUCCA